rnacentral:rRNA from 1 species
GACGAACGCUGGCGGCGUGCUUAACACAUGCAAGUCGAACGGAAAGGCCCUGCUUUUGUGGGGUGCUCGAGUGGCGAACGGGUGAGUAACACGUGAGUAACCUGCCCUUGACUUUGGGAUAACUUCAGGAAACUGGGGCUAAUACCGGAUAGGAGCUCCUGCCGCAUGGUGGGGGUUGGAAAGUUUCGGCGGUUGGGGAUGGACUCGCGGCUUAUCAGCUUGUUGGUGGGGUUGUGGCUUACCAAGGCUUUGACGGGGAGCCGGCCUGAGAGGGUGACCGGCCACAUUGGGACUGAGAUACGGCCCAGACUCCUACGGGAGGCAGCAGUGGGGAUUAUUGCCCAAUGGGCGGAAGCCUGAUGCAGCAACGCCGCGUGCGGGAUGACGGCCUUCGGGUUGUAAACCGCUUUCGCCUGUGACGAGGCGUGAGUGACGGUAAUGGGUAAAGAAGCACCGGCUAACUACGUG